UUUUAUUUCAUUUCCACAACUCUCACAACACCUAUGAAUUGAGGCACUUCCCUUUUUAUAGAUCAGGAAAUGGAUGGAGGCUGACAGAGGCCAGAGCCAGGCCAGGGCAGAAAGGACAGAGGAAGCAAAACCCGGAGUCGGAACGCGCAGGCUGGAUUUGGGCAGCGGUGAGGGGCUGGAGCGAGAGGGCGGGAGAGUGACAAGAAAGAAGAAGGGAGAGACAGAGACAAACAUGGAUGUGAGAGAGAAACAUUGAUUGGUUGCCUCCCAUAUCUGCUAAGACCAGGGAUCGAACCCACGACCUAGGUGAGGAAACGUGAAGUUCAGCAUAUGGAAAAUGCAAAAGGAAGAAACCGACUAUUGAGUCUCCCUCUUCCCUCCAGCUUCUCAAAGAGGAAUGACUUUAAAAUGAAACAGAUGAGCCCUGGCUGGUGUGGCUCAGUUGGUUGGCGUAUCAUCCUGUAACUUAAAGGUUGAGGGUUCUAUUCACAUCAGGGCACAUACUUAGGUUGUGGGUUCGAUCUCGGUCAGGUGCAUAUGGGAGGCAACCAACUGAUGUUUCUCUGCUCUCUCUCAUAUCAAUCUCUCUCUCUCAAACCAAUAAGCAUAAUCAAGUGGGGAUUAAAAAAUUAAAAUAAAACACAUGAAAUCCAGAUCAG